rnacentral:rRNA from 1 species
AUACGGAGGUGGCUAGCGUUGUUCGGAAUUACUGGGCGUAAAGCGCACGUAGGCGGCUUUGUAAGUCAGAGGUGAAAGCCUGGAGCUCAACUCCAGAACUGCCUUUGAGACUGCAUCGCUUGAAUCCAGGAGAGGUCAGUGGAAUUCCGAGUGUAGAGGUGAAAUUCGUAGAUAUUCGGAAGAACACCAGUGGCGAAGGCGGCUUACUGGACUGGUAUUGACGCUGAGGUGCGAAAGCGUGGGGAGCAAACAGGAUUAGAAACCCUUGUAGUCC